rnacentral:lncRNA from 1 species
GAGGAGGAAACAGGUGUUAAAAUUCAUCUUUAAUAGCAGGAUGUGAACAAUCAAGUUGAACACCGUUCUCUAAUCAACAGUUUGAGCCUGUCAAAGUAAAGAGGUUUGAAAGGAAGGCCAUGGGUGUAAUUACUCUCCUUCUUUUCGCUUAAAUACUCAAAAUGACUCCCCCUUUGUUAACUUGACUCAGCUCCCCUGACUCCUGCAUGAAUUUCUUAACAGAGGAAGAAAAAUAGAAAUAAAAAACUUUGUACACUCUUAACAUGGACCAGUACGAACGAGGAUGAGGGCCACAAGAAGAGAAAAAAAAACAACAGUGGGGGGAUUUUUCUAUUUUACAUCUCAAGGUUAAAGUCGAAAUUUCGACUUCAUUCAUGUCGAUUUUAAUCUCAAAGUUAAAAUUUAAUCCCAAAAUUUUAAUUAUUUUAAUCUCGAAAUUUCUACUUUAAUCUCAAGAUUUGAAUUUUUAAUCUUGAAAUUUUGACUCCAUUCAUAUAAUGCCGAUUUUUCAAUCUCGAAAUUUCAACUUCGAUCUUGAAGAUUAAGAUUUCAAGAUUGAAGUCAAAAUUUUACAAAAUCAAAAUGAAAAAAGUUGAAAUUUCGAGAUUAAAGGCGGAAUUUUAUAAAGUCAAAAUGAAAAGUCAAAAUUUUUGAGAUUCAAGUUGGAAUUUUGAGAAUUCAAAAAUCAAAAUUACGUGAAUAAAGUCAAAAUUUCAAGAUUAAAAAGAUUGUGAUAAAAUAAUAAGAUUAAAGAUGUAAUAAAGUAAUUACUAACGAGAAUAAAGUCCAAAUUUCGUGAUUAAAGUCGGAAUUUUGCGAUUUAAAAAAAAUCAAAAUUACGUGAAUAAAGUCAAAAUUUCAAGAUUAAAAAAGUUGUGAUAAAAUAAUUAAUAACAAGAUUAAAUUUGUAAUAAAGUAAUUACUAACGGGAAUAAAGUCCAAAUUUCGUGAUUAAAGUCGGAAUUUUGAGAUUUAAAAAAAUCCAAAUUACGUAAAUAAAGUCAAAAUUUUGAGAUUUAAAAAGUUGUAAUAAAGUAAUUACUUACGGGAAAAAAGUCCUUAUAUUCUAACCUGCUGUUUAAGAUGACAGUUGUUGAAAUGAAAGCCAUGGAGCAUUUCGUAAAAAUGUACUUCAAUAUCGGUUUCUCAAACAAGCAGAUACUUCAUCUUUUGGCACAUCAGCACCACAUUAUCAUAAGUCUCAAAAUGAUUUUACUUCGACUUUAUUCCCGUAAGUAAUGACUUUAAUCUCGAAGUGUUAUUCUUUUUUUAUUAAUGUGGCACUAAUACUCCACCGUAGAUCAGGGAGCUCGGCAAAGUUGGGAAACUUUCCACAAAGUCGUCCUAUAACAGCCCUGCUACUAUACCGCCUUUGUAUUUCUACACUAAAUCACACAACAGCAUGAUGUUGUUUUCCUCCUAUACAGCACUGCAGAAACUAAAUAAAGAGCACAAAGCCUCACAUAUACAAAAGACUACUGCUGUUCCUCUCAGCUGUUCCCGGUAUAACAUUAACAUCGCCUCUGUUACUGCCUUGGACAAAGGCAGGGAAACUUUGCAGCACUUUUAUGCCUCUGUGUCUUUUAUAUUCAAGAUUCAAGGCUCCACAGAGGGCUUGAUUCAGACCAACACUGUUAAAGGUUGCAGGGAAGGAAGCUAAAGAGAAGGGACAUAAUUAGCUGUAAUGCAAUUAUGGAUCCUUACAGCAGUGAUGUGGCUCUAAUCAGCCUCUUUAAACAGAUAUCUAUAUGCAAAUGCAGCGAGUAGAUCUGCUACUCAUCUUAUAUCCAACUCUCCAACUCCAUUCUUGCAUGUCAGAUUUUUCGAUGUGCUGUGAAGGAUGGCCACUGCAAAGUAAGAAAUAAUGAUCAUUCACUACGGAUGAACAGGAAGUUCUGCAAAGUUGACUCACCAUGAGAGGCUUUUACUUAGUUUGAUGGUAGCGUGUGGGGGUUACACAUGAAUUCUUACCAACAGAGUGUUAAAAAAUGUUUAAUUUCAUGGAUGGAUAGCAGUUAUAUCAAAGUAGGUAUCAAGAAUAGUGACAUGAAUCUGUAUCUGGGGUAACUUCUAACCCGCAGAAGAAGCAUGUUUGGUUUAAAAAAUCUGCGGGUGGAAGAAGGACUGCAGUGUUUGUUCAAAGUCUGAUAAUGAGCCUCAAGGGGGUGUCACUGAAGUCAGCCAAAGGGCGGCAAUGCCCUGAAUCUGAUUAGUCAUCCGGAAAAAACCUAAACUCGGCUCCUGUUUUAGUGUUUUAUGGUUUGUUUUUAGUUAUUUGUUUCUAUGUUUUUUAAUUAGUUUUUAAAAACAUUGAAACUAUAUUUUAUUUUUUUUUGUAACCCUUUUGUAUUGCGCGUGCUCUGCCGUGUGGCGAUGCUUCUGAUGGUGAAAAAGAUUUGAGGUAUUCCCCAACUUUGUGGGAACAUGUACUCGACAAUAUUUGCAGUGCACAUUACUCUGCCAGUGUUGUCGACGAUGUCGGCUUCAUGUGUUAAAGUGCUACGGUUGUGUGUAACUGCAGCCUGAUACUACCAUAGACUGUAUAUAAGAUGGACAGCCUGGUUCCGCCUUCCGCCUGUAUAUGGAUUUGAAGCCAAAAAGCUCUCGGUAAUUCCGGGUUUUUCUCCACUUCCUUGAAACCAGAGCUGCGCAGUAGCGAUGUACACAGACGUUUUUGGCUGGGCGGGAGACUCGUCGCGACCAAGAAUAAGUAAGUUCCACUUCUCCUAAUAUAAUGUGAAAUGUGUCAGCGGUCAUGUCACAUGUCGGUUAACACAGUUUACUGCAGAACAACUCAUUUUUCCAAUGCAACAAAAGAGAAAAAUGAUGGAAAAAUUUAAUCCUCUUCUCCGCUAGCAAACCCGAUUGAUCUUGACGAUGGGGGGUUUAUGACUUGUACUGCAGCCAGGCUCUAGGGGGUGCUGUCCUUGGAGUGGCUUCACCCGGCGAGGAGACAGACAGCGUCCAUCUUAUAUACAGUCUAUGGAUACUACACAGUUGUUUGCUACUUGGUUCUAAUCCAGCACAUGAUUAGUUCAGUGUAAAGCAAGUCCAGAGAAACUCCCCUUUUCAUUUGCUACUCCUAUAGUCUAACAAAACAUGUCAGAAUGCCGGCUAACGAAAAGCAUGUUGACCAUGUUUCAUAUCAAUAUCGAGGGAAGUUAAUUUUUGACAUAUAUCAUUAUCAUUUUAUCGCCCAGCCCUAAUUUCUUCUCAUUCUCAUUCAGUCAGAGUGAGAUCUGCCAAAUCAGAAAUCAUUUCCCCCUGCUGUACUUGUAUAAACAGACAGAAGGCCAUGCCUACAGCAGCGUACCCCAGAGUAAACUGCUUCCAGAUGCCUACAGGGCUUCAGUGCUGCUGUCAAACCUUAUAAAGAGGAAAAAACAUGUUUUUUUUUUGACGCUCUGAAUCCUUUUGCAGAUUCCACACCAACACACUCACUCCGACUUUGAAUGUCCAAACACAACUAAACAGAGGACUUUCAAUGUCACAGAGAGAGAGGAAAAAACGAGUCCUCCUCUUUUUUUCUGAGUAUCACUUCUUAACCUUGAUAGAUAGAGAGUGCAUGCACAAUAUCCACACCUACAGUCUGUCGAUCAUGUAACUGUCCUUCAAAAUUCUCCGCGGGCAUUCAAAUCAGGCUUCAAUCUCUCGAACUGCGCUGCACUCAGGCCUCCAGCUUUGAUGUUUAAAAGGUCUUGAGCGCUGGGAUGUACACAGAGUCAAUAUUUAUGUAGAGGCUCACUGCCUCUGGCUGCAGCUGCCGGGCUCUGCUUUGCCCCCCUGAGCAGUAUUUGCAGUGCACUGGCUCUCUGAACUCCAUAGAGAGAGGCUUACCUGCAAAAACCCAGUGAACCCUGGACCCUGAAACAGAUCGUUUUUCUCCCCUUUCCUCCUUUUUUUUCUAAAAAUGCCACCCACGAUUGUCAUUCAGAGUCACAGAAGGGGGUAAACUGGCUGUUUGUGUGCAUAUUAAGUCUGUGAGGUUUACUCGUCCCAACUUUUCAUCCUCUGGAAGUGUGCUCGGUCUGGGAUGUGCUUGUUAGAAGACAGGGUUUGUGCUCGGCUCUGAGUUGUUUGUGUUUAACGUCCUCAUCUGUCCUGCUCGGUGGACUUUUAUAUGAGAUCACACCGAGGAGUAUUGUUGCCCCGCUUCAUCGAUCAAAUCCCUUUGCUCUUGUAACCACAGGUCAGAGACUGUCUGUUUCUAUGGCGACAAUCAAAACAAAUCC